AUACGAUCGAGGAGACUAAGGAAUUGCUUGAUCAGUCUUUAAUGAUAUAUGUCUGAGAGAAGGAAUGGUGGUCGAUUGUAGAGCGAAAUGCAGCUUUUGAAGGAUCGUGACGCGGCUGCGCGUAAAGAGGGCUUACAGGCAAAUAUCAGUGUCAGUAUGAUCAGUAGAAAGACACAGAGGGCCACGGAGGAGUUACCCUAGAAAGGCAACUUCCUAGCUACCCUCCUGGCCACUUUCUUGGUCACCUUCCCAGUCUACCCUCCUACGGACGAGCCAAAGAAAAUUGCGUUUUCCGCAGAGCGGUCUGGACGCAGUUAAGUACAUAAUUCGAUGAACCCAUUGAGAUCUAGGGCUAACUUAAAAAGAAACAUCUUUGAAGAAGAAGGGUGUAUAUCCUUAUUGGAGACAGUGAAAGUUAUUGAUUCUCUUACGUUGUGGAAAGGAGCAACCAAAUCGAGAGUUUAUCUAUUCACUCAUAUUUCGAAUAUACAUAUUACUCUUUUGUGUUCCUUAAGGAUCGAGUAGACUUAAAAUAGACAAGAUGAAGGUAGGACUACUGAAAAACUUUUUAUAUUACUUUAGUCUCCGGCAAGGUACCGUGUUAAUUGCUAUAAUACAAUUGUUCAUGUCCGGAUUUAGUAUGAUGUUUUUCGUAUUGGCAUUGGCACACGCUAUGGGGAUUCAAGAAAUGGUGGUAAGAGACACCGAGGAUGCUCUCGAAAGAGAAGCUUUAGAGGAUAUAUCUUCGAAUCAUCUCAAUACUAAAAAAAUGGACAUGGCUCACCAUAAUGCUACUGAGACCGUUUAUUCCAUGUAUUGUGGAUUAGUGAUCACGGUGAUACACUUCAUGACUACGAUCCUUUUGCUUUACGGAGCAUUAACGAACAAUCGUCAUUUUAUGGCACCAUGGAUGAUGGUAAUGAUGACGAUAAUAUCGGCAUUGACCAUAUCCCUGUUCCUGGUUGAACAAGACUGUCCAUUCAUCGCUAUUCUCGGCGGAAAGGCAGACAUUUGCGAACGCGCGAUCGUGUUGUUAUUUGUUAUCACGAGUUCUUACAUAUGGUUCGUCGUAUAUAGUACGUAUAAGAGUCUUGAAAUAAAGAAAGGAUUGAUGCAUGAAGUACACAAUGUCAAGAAAUAUGCAUUACCGAUAGCGGAAGGUUCGAAAUCAUUUCAUGUAUCUGCUACCAAGCCCUAUGAGGUUUAAAAGUCUUGUAAAGGAAGAAGAGGAAAAACAAAAAAGGGAGAAACGCAAAAAAAAAAAAAAGAAAGGAGAGCACAUAUGAAAACAUUCACACACACACACACACACACAAAUACAAAGAGAAAAAUCUAAUAGAGGAUCGACCUCGCAUCGAAAUAAAUAAGAAAAAACGAUAAAAGAAGGAGGA